GGAUUGUGGCUCAAUGGUAGAACACUCGCCUAGCAUGUGUGAGGCACUGGGUUCGAUCAUCAGCGCCA
rnacentral:tRNA from 1 species